AGGGGGGUGGUCCCGUUAGGUCGGGCCGCGGAGGCGGGGUUUCUCUUUCCCUAUCGUUCCCCACACAAGCCGUCCGCCUUCGGCCUGAGAGCUCAAGCAGGGGAGGACGGGGUCGCCGCCGCCCGGGCCUGACUGGAGGCAUCGCUCGGGGCUCGGCGGCGUGUGCUCGCCCCGCGCGCGCGCGCGUGCGUGGGCCGGGCCGGGCCAGGCGGGCGGCUGCGUGGGCUGGGGCGAGGCGAGGCUGAGCGGGCGCCCCGCGCGGACGGAGGCGGCGGGCGUGGGGCUGCAGCGCUGGCACUCGCCGCCCGCCUCUCUCGCUUCACUUCCAGCCCGCCCGGGAAGCUACUACCUGCGGAGGCGGCGACGAGUUAAUGCUGUCGCCGCGCUCCGGCGGCCGGAGAGAAGCUGGGCUGGGCUGGGCUGCGUCCCCGCCGGGGGUGGGGAGCGGGACCUGCCUGCCCUCUCGCCAGGCAGUGGCCGACUGAGGCGGGGGCGGUGUGUGUGUGUGGUCCCUGCCCUCGCCGCCUUCCACCUGCCCGCUCAGGCGGCUGCCGUGGCGGUGAUUAUCGCCUCCCCCCGAAGAUGAAGAGGUGGCUGCUGCUGCUUCUGGGUCUGGCUGCGGGGGAUAAACCUGGAUAAAGGCUCCAAAAAAAAAAAAACCCAACCCAAACCACCCCCAAAACAACGGAAGGCAGGAAGUCCCCGCUCUCCAGCGUGCGGACGGGGCAUUCUCCUCACCUCGCUUCUGGCGAAAGAAAAGCAAAAGCAGAGGGGCGAGGCGGGCCGAAGGCCGUCCCUGCGCCGAGGGGAGGGAGGCUGGCAGGGAGCAGGAUGCGGGGGGAGCCCCGGCAGCGCCACGGGCCGUGGGCGAGGGCCUGCGCGGCGGCGGCGGGCGGCGGCGGGCGGCCGGGAUGGUAGCGGAGGGCCGGAGCGGUGCCGGCGGAGGUCUGCGGCGGGCGGCGGCGCCUUGCUCUUCCUUCGCGCCCCGGCGGCCGCGCGGGGCUGAGCCGUUGCGGAGCAUGCGGCGGCGGCGGCGCGGACCUGUUGUGUAGAGGCAGGCGGGGGUUAAACGCGCCGGCGGCGGCGCCGCCCGGGGCGUGAGGCGGGGAAGCGGUUCCGCUCGCUGCCUGCGGGAGGAUGAGGACCUGCGCCGGAGGCGCUAGUGGCCGCCGAGCACCGGCCCUGGCCCGGACUGUCUGCGGCUCGGGAAAAUCUCCUGUGGCGAAGCGGGAGAAGGGCUCGCGGUGAGCCGUGCUCCCCCGGCCCAGGUCUGCGCGGAGCGGCGGCCGGGCGGUCACUUCCCAUUGAAUUGCAGCUUCAGGAAGAAGAGAUCUCGAAGCGUUUCUCGGAAGCUGGAGUUGCAGCGUCUUUUUCUUUUUUUUUUCCCCUCCCCCCCAUCAUUCGUUACGCGUGUCUCUUGAGGGGACGUUGUAGGAAUGCUCGUUUUUAGCAGUGAAAUCUGCUGCGCGAAGGAGGAUUAUAACAAAUCUCAGUGAAUGGUAGACUCGAUUGCUAAACCUUGCCUCGACCAACCUUUUGACCCUCGGCGAGAGCUCUUGGGGUGUACGUGGGAAAGAAAGCCCUUCCCAUUUGAAAACAGACUUGAAAGAAAGACUGUGUUUUUCCGACAGCCAGACUGUUUUACGAUUUUUGGGGGGCUUGUUUUGUGAUGAGAUGUUUUAAAAAGGAUUGUCCUACAUGGUUUUGUAACUGGUGGAGGAAGGAAGGAUCCCUCUCAAGCAUUUCUAAUAUGACAGCUUUGGUUUCUCAAGAGUUAAGUGAUGUUUGCAUGAUACACCUAUCGCUAGGCUGGUAGCAGACUUUUUGGGUUUUGUUUUUUAAUUGGGGCUGCUGGAGAGGGUGAUCUUAGUCGGAAGAGUAUCUGCCCAUAUAUAUAUAGUGUAUAUUUUUCGGUGGGGUUCUCCCCACAUAUUACUCUCUCUUGAUGACUCCUGGAGGUGGUAGUGGGCCCAUGAAAGACUGUGAAUACAGUCAGAUCAGCACGCACAGCUCUUCGUCUCCCAUGGAGUCUCCCCAUAAGAAAAAGAAAUCAGCUCCUAAGAGAAAAUGGGAGGUUUUUCCUGGAAGAAACAAAUUCUUCUGCAAUGGGAGGAUCAUGAUGGCUCGGCAGACUGGAGUCUUCUACCUGACUCUUGUUCUCAUCUUGGUCACCAGUGGACUCUUCUUUGCAUUUGAUUGCCCAUACUUGUCGGAGAAGAUUACACCUGCUAUUCCUGCAAUUGGUGGGAUUCUUUUCUUUUUCGUGAUGGGGACCCUGCUGCGUACUAGUUUCAGUGAUCCUGGUGUCCUCCCACGCGCAACACCAGAUGAAGCAGCAGAUCUAGAGAGACAAAUAGGUAACACUGAAGAUAUUGCAAAUGGCUCCAGUUCAGGAGGAUACCGCCCCCCUCCCAGAACAAAAGAAGUGAUCAUCAAUGGACAGACAGUGAAACUAAAAUACUGUUUUACUUGCAAGAUUUUCCGCCCACCUCGUGCCUCACAUUGCAGCCUUUGUGAUAACUGCGUAGAACGGUUUGAUCACCACUGUCCCUGGGUAGGCAACUGUGUGGGGAAAAGAAACUACAGAUUUUUUUAUAUGUUUAUUUUAUCUCUGUCCUUUCUGACAGUCUUUAUAUUUGCAUUCGUUAUCACCCACGUCAUCCUUCGUUCACAACAAACAGGGUUCCUCAAUGCCCUGAAGGACAGUCCUGCAAGUGUGCUGGAAGCUGUGGUGUGUUUUUUCUCCGUAUGGUCCAUUGUUGGUCUCUCAGGUUUUCACACAUAUUUGAUCAGCUCCAAUCAAACAACCAAUGAAGAUAUUAAAGGAUCAUGGUCAAAUAAAAGAGGUAAAGAAAACUAUAAUCCAUACAGUUACGGCAACAUCUUUACUAAUUGCUGUGCUGCACUCUGUGGGCCUCUCUCUCCAAGUUUAAUUGACAGAAGAGGAUUUAUACAGCCAGAUACACCACAAUUAGCAGGACCAUCAAAUGGCAUUACUAUGUAUGGGGCCACACAGUCUCAGAGCAACAUGUGUGACCAAGAUCAGUGCAUUCAGAGCACUAAAUUCGUUUUGCAGGCUGCUGCCACCCCACUACUACAGAGUGAGCCCAGCAUAACUAGUGAAGAACUACCUUUACCAGGAAAGACUACUAUCAGUGGGCCUUGUGCAACCCUAACUUUAGGGCAACCAACACCACCAUCUUCCAUGCCAAAUCUCACAUCAGAUUCAGGUUUGACAGACAUGAUACCAUUAAAAGAGGAACACGAAGGUCAUCAGUUUCUUACUCCUGAAGAAGCUCCAUCACCCCCUGGGAUGCUGCCAAGUGGAAGUCCUAUUACACACAGCCAUACAAUGCACGUCCUGAGUCUAGCCAGUCAAGAUUCAUUGCAUGAAGACUCAGUACGUGGUCUUGUGAAGCUUAGCUCAGUUUGAACAGCUUUUUUGAUGACAUUGCACCAUUUCAUGGUGUCUAUACAAAUCUUUACUCAACAGGAAUGACACUGUAAGACUUUGUAACAUGCCUAUAUAACGGAAACUUUACCGCAUAAUGGAGUCUAUUAAAAAGACAUUAUUUUUUCAAAGGAGCUAUGGCAUUUUUUGACCAGGUUGUUAACGGUUGUGCUUUGAUGGUGACUACAUUUUAUUUUUAAGUAAAACCAGAAGCAGUCAAUAAUCUUGUUUUUUGAAGUUUGGGUAAAGUAAGUUGGAAUUCAGCCUGUAGGAAAGACCUUUGUACAGUACAAAAGAGAGAGACUCUUGGAUGUGAAGAUAAGCUGUUUUGGAGUUGAUCCUAGUGGAUUGUGGCGGACAGAUGAAUGAAUUUUUUGCCUUAAACAUUUCUUGGUGCAUGGGGUGCAGGCAGGCCACAACCCCGAACAAGCCAUCUGUCCCUGGCGGAAACAGGACUGGGCUGCUGCGACCCCCGAGAUGGUCUCCCUGCGACCACCCGGGACACACCGAGCCUGCACUGAACCAGACCACGAUCAGCAGAGACUUUGGGACCUGGACUGUAAAUUAUUGUCCGUUUUUAGCACAACUUCCAUAAAACUUGCUUGGCAUGAGUGGCUAAAUUUGUUGAAGCCUUAGGCCACACUCCCUAGUUCAGUGAGAAAGGGCCCCAGAGCUGGUGCAGGCGGGAAUGAUAAGGGAGUUACCAGCAGUUUGCAUUCCUGUGCACCACUGAAACAGUGCUAAUUGCUGGAGUUACCACCUCUUUGUCAGGACCUUGAGAGAUGAUGGCGGGACCCGAGGAAUGAAGACACACCUGUUGGCAGAAACUGCAACAGUAAAGAUAAGGGAGAAAAGAAACAGCCUGCCUAGGAACAACAAUGAGACCCAAUAAGGAGCAGGAGACCCCAGACUCAAAAAUUACUAUUGGUCUGAACUACCACGUGGAGGGGGGGGAACUUAAUUUGAAAAAGCUGUAAUUGCCCAGGGAUCUCUUUGUUCAGGGUCCCUCUUCGGAGGCACCCAACUCGAGCUGUAACCACUGCGUGCGUGCCAUUGCAAUUUAUUUAUUUAAUUUGCCUUGAUUUUGGCUCCGAGCUUUUCAGCGGGAACCUAGGGUCAGACCCUGCUCGAGUUGUAAUUACUGCACGCGCAUCGCCAAAACUUACACCCAGGGUGAAGAGGACCCACCUACCACCAGACAGGAGCCCCCCCCACCGCCGAGACUCCCAAAAGAAGAGGACCAACGGGACGCCGCUGGAUCCACGGGUGGUGAUAUCUUUCUCUCUCUCUCUCUCUCUCUCUCUCUCUCUCCCUCCCUCCCUCCCUCCCUCCCUCCCUUUUUCCCUCUCUUUUGUUGAAUGUUGGUAAGAUCUGUUUGAAACGUGUGGCACGGGACUUGUCUAGCUAGUUGUAGUAUUCGCCAUUGAAUUAUCCUAUUUGACCACAUGCCUUAUCUUUGUGUUAAUAAAUCUUAAAACUGG